rnacentral:misc_RNA from 1 species
AAGGAGUCUAACAUGCUUGCGAGUAUUUGGGUGUCAAACCCGGAUGCGUAAUGAAAGUGAAUGGAGGUGGGAAGCGCAAGCUGCACCAUCGACCGAUCUGGAUUUUCUAAGAUGGAUUUGAGUAAGAGCACGUAUGUUGGGACCCGAAAGAUGGUGAACUAUGCCUGAAUAGGGCGAAGCCAGAGGAAACUCUGGUGGAGGCUCGUAGCGGUUCUGACGUGCAAAUCGAUCGACAAAUUUGGGUAUAGGGGCGAAAGACUAAUCGAACCAUCUAGUAGCUGGUUCCUGC